rnacentral:rRNA from 1 species
GACGAACGCUGGCGGCGUGCUUAACACAUGCAAGUCGAGCGGAAAGGCCCUUUCGGGGGUACUCGAGCGGCGAACGGGUGAGUAACACGUGAGUAAUCUGCCCUUGGCUUUGGGAUAACUACCGGAAACGGUGGCUAAUACCGGAUACGACGUACUCAGGCAUCUGAUGUGCGUGGAAAGUUUUUUCGGCCAGGGAUGUGCUCGCGGCCUAUCAGCUUGUUGGUGGGGUAAUGGCCUACCAAGGCUUCGACGGGUAGCCGGCCUGAGAGGGUGACCGGCCACACUGGGACUGAGACACGGCCCAGACUCUUACGGGAGGCAGCAGUGGGGAAUAUUGGACAAUGGGCGGAAGCCUGAUCCAGCAACGCCGCGUGAGGGAUGACGGCC